GUCGAGAAUCUUUCACAAUGGGGGCAACCCUGAUGGAGCGACGCCGCGUGGAGGAUAAGGUCUUCGGAUUGUAAACUCCUGUCAUGCGUGAACAAGGUUGCUUGGUUAAUACCUGGGCAAAUUGAUGGUAACGCAAGAGGAAGAGACGGCUAACUCUGUGCCAGCAGCCGCGGUAAUACAGAGGUCUCAAGCGUUGUUCGGAAUCACUGGGCGUAAAGGGUGCGUAGGUGGCGUGGUAAGUCAGAUGUGAAAGCCCGGGGCUCAACCUCGGAACUGCAUCCGAUACUGCCAUGCUAGAGUACUGGAGAGGUGACUAGAAUUCUCGGUGUAGCAGUGAAAUGCGUAGAUAUCGAGAGGAAUACCAAAGGCGUAGGCAGGUCACUGGACAGUUACUGACACUGAGGCACGAAACCUAAGGUAGCGAAUGGGAUUAGAUACCCCUGUAGUCC
rnacentral:rRNA from 1 species